rnacentral:rRNA from 1 species
AUGGAGGGGGAUAACUACUGGAAACGGUAGCUAAUACCGCAUAACGUCGCAAGACCAAAGUGGGGGACCUUCGGGCCUCAUGCCAUCAGAUGUGCCCAGAUGGGAUUAGCUAGUAGGUGGGGUAACGGCUCACCUAGGCGACGAUCCCUAGCUGGUCUGAGAGGAUGACCAGCCACACUGGAACUGAGACACGGUCCAGACUCCUACGGGAGGCAGCAGUGGGGAAUAUUGCACAAUGGGCGCAAGCCUGAUGCAGCCAUGCCGCGUGUAUGAAGAAGGCCUUCGGGUUGUAAAGUACUUUCAGCGGGGAGGAAGGCGAUAAGGUUAAUAACCUUGUCGAUUGACGUUACCCGCAGAAGAAGCACCGGCUAACUCCGUGCCAGCAGCCGCGGUAAUACGGAGGGUGCAAGCGUUAAUCGGAAUUACUGGGCGUAAAGCGCACGCAGGCGGUCUGUCAAGUCGGAUGUGAAAUCCCCGGGGCUCAACCUGGGGAACUGCAUUCGAAACUGGCCAGGCUAGAGUCUUUGUAGAGGGGGGGUAGAAUUCCCAGGUGUAGCCGGUGAAAUGCGUAAAAGAUCUGGGAGGAAUACCGGGUGGCGAAAGGCGGCCCCCCUGGACAAAAGACUGACGCCUCAGGGUGCGAAAAGCGUGGGGGAGCAAACAGGGAUUAAAAUACCCCUGGGUAGUCCACCCCCGUAAA